ACGAUGAAGAGUUUGAUCCUGGCUCAGGAUGAACGCUAGCGGCAGGCCUAACACAUGCAAGUCGAGGGAUAAGCCUUCGGGCUAAAACCGGCGCACGGGUGCGU
rnacentral:rRNA from 1 species